GGGGAUGGCAGGGUCCUGGUGGGUCCCGCGAUCUUCAAAAUCGUUGGUGGGCCGCUCGUGCGGGCCACGGUGGGUUCGACUCCCAUUCAUCCCCGCCA
rnacentral:tRNA from 1 species